rnacentral:rRNA from 1 species
GAUGAACGCUAGCUACAGGCUUAACACAUGCAAGUCGAGGGGCAGCAUGGUCUUAGCUUGCUAAGGCUGAUGGCGACCGGCGCACGGGUGAGUAACGCGUAUCCAACCUGGCCCAUAGUAGGGAACAGCCCGGCGAAAGUCGGAUUAAUGCCCUAUGUUCUCCUUUGAGGGCAUCUGAGAUGGAGCAAAGAUUUAUCGCUAUGGGAUGGGGAUGCGUCUGAUUAGGUUGUUGGCGGGGUAACGGCCCACCAAGCCGUCGAUCAGUAGGGGUUCUGAGAGGAAGGUCCCCCACAUUGGUACUGAGACACGGACCAAACUCC